rnacentral:lncRNA from 1 species
AUCCUCAUUUUCCCGUGAGCUUCUCUCUCCUCUGUCUUGAAAUCGACGGCGAGCUGGGCAACGCGGGUCAAGGGCCGGUGGGCGUGGGCUGGGGCUGCGGGGAGGCGGCGCGGCAGGGGCCGCGAGCGGCGGUGGCGCGACGCCGCGCGGAGGCGGCGCGACCGCGCGAGACCGUGGGGGGCAGCGCAGGGGACAGCGGGCUGUGGGGAGGCGCCGCGCGGAGGCUGCGCUGGGGCUGCGGGGAGGCGGCGUGGCAGGGGCCGCGAGCGGCGGCGGCGCGCCCGCGCGAGACGGUGGGGGCGGCGCAGGGGACCGCGGGCGGUGGGGCGGCGCCGCGCCGAGGCUGCCUGAGGUGGCGCACGGCAAAGGCGGGGGAGGCGCGCGGGGGCUGCGCGCGGCAGAGGCGGAGGAGGCACGCGGAGGCUGCGCGCGGCAGAGGCGGGCGAGGUGCAUCGAGGCAGAGCGCGACGCGAUUCCGGCGUGCUUCUCCGCUCCCGCUCUUCCUCCUUCUACUGCGUCAUUCCCGCCGGUGAGUCUCCUAUUUCUUCGCCGGCCCCCAAUUUCUGCGAGCUCUCUGGUUGAAUUUUGGCAAAUCAGUGCUAUGUGCUCUACGAUUUGUUGGUUGUUUCCUGCGAUUUCCUGGACAUGCACAGCGUAUGGUGGGGCUGCACCGCUGCGACAUCUUGUGAGUUUGGCGGUACUUCAGGUAAUUUGGCGGGGUGCAGCAGCAUGUGGGUUUUGCGAUGGUUGACAUGCACAGCACCUUGUUCAUGCACAGCGAUUUGGGCUAGGGUUUGACAUUUGCAGGCGUACUGGAUAGUGUGUUUGACGUUGUGCUUGGCUGUGGGUGGGGUGGGGUGUGCUGUGUGCUUGGUGACAUGGGGAUUGAUCUCAGCUUGUGGGUUUAUACUAGGUUUGAUGCAAUUCACCCGCUGCUAAAAUAGUCGAUGUCUAUUUUCUUUUUCAUGAGACGAGCUCCUGGUCAUGGUAAGUUUUGGUUUAGCCAGCUACUUUUGUACAUUAAUUUAGGUGUUUUGAAAUACCUGGUAGUCGUCAACACAGACCCUGAUAAUUUUAAUAGGAAUUUCUGUACCGAACAGCCUAGUAGUUGUUACCAUACAACCUUGUAAAGAACCUAGUACCUAUUUGGAAAAAGCAUGGUAGCUAAUUAUAAAGAACAUGAUAGCUAUUUUCAAAGAACUUGGCAACUAUUUUUGUAAAGAACAUAGUUAAUUGGAAAGAACAUGGCAAUUGUUUGUAAAGGACCUGGCAAUUAUUUGUAAAGAAUCUGUUAGGUGUUUAAAAUGAACCUGGCAAUUGUUUGCGGAGAAUCUUGUAGGUGAUUGGAAAGAGCCUGGUAGCGCUGAUUGGAACCUAGUAGCUAUAGGGGGAAAAUUGAUAAUGUACAUAUAGGAAACCAGGACAGUUCAUUGUCAAGAUCAUAGCAGUUGUUAUAGUGUUUUGUAUAGACCCUGGCAACUGUUUUUAUAAAACCUGGCAACUGUUUGUAAAGAACCUGGUAGUUGUUUUUUGUAAAGAACAUGUGAAUUUGUUUUUUGGAAAGAACCUGGCAACCUGGCAAUUGUCUGUAGAAAACGUGGCAAUUGUUUGCAGAAAACGUGGCAAUUGUUUGUAGAAAACCUGGCAAUUUGAUUUCUAAAUAGCCUGGCAAUUUAUUUUCUAAAUAACCUGGCUACUGUUUGUAAAUAACGUGGCAACUAUUUGUAUAAAACUUGGCAACUGUUUGUAAAGAACCUGGUAGUUGUUUUUGAAAAGAACCUGUCAAUUUGUUUUUUUUAAGAACCUGGCAACUGUUUAUAAAGAACCUGGUAAUUGUUUGCAGAAAACAUGGCAAUUGUUUGUAGAAAACCUGGCAAUUUGGGGUGCGUUUGGUUCCGUCUCCUAGCAAGGCUAUUGCUGAGCUAGUCUAGCUGCUCAACUCGCAUUGGUUAAGGUCGUUUGUAGCUCUGCGUUUGGUUUGACUUGAUUGCCCGUGUGAGCUCCUAGGGAGAUCGUGGGUUGCGCAAUAUUCAGUAGAGGUUUUUGUUCGCACAAAGACAUCUUGCCAUCGAGGGAGAACCAAUUUGGUUCUCCCUUACGAGCAAGGUUUUUCUGGCCCGCACCGGCUAACUCUUCGUCAAAAGCUAGAAAUUAUUUUGGACACCAAACACCAAACCUGGCUUAGAAAGGCUAUAACUGUUUUUGCUCUGGAACCAAACUGACCCUUGGUUUCUAAAUAACCUGGCAACUGUUUGGGCAAUUGUUUGUAGAAACCUGGCAAUCUGAUUUUAAAUAAUUUGGCAAUUUGUUUUCUAAAGAACCUACAAUUUGUCUGUAAGAAUCUGGCAAUUGUUUGUACAGUUCAUUUCUUUUCGUUUUCUUUUAUUGUCAUUAAUAGUGAGAUAUAUAUGCUUUCAUAUGCGUUUCUCAACGUGAAUGGCCGUUGAUCAGUUUUGUUGCCAAGGAAGUGAUGUUCCUAACUUGUUGGGUCAAGAAAAGCUGCUAGGCAUCGAUGGCCAGUAAAUGUCUAUGGGAGAAGGUAACCGGUGAUCUAGAUCAACAACCUCGACAAUAUACAUAUGGCGGAGGUGAUGGAGAUGAAUAAGAUUCUCGAGGCAAUAAAGAGUUCAAAGAAAUGGGUUUCGUUUGCCCCCAUAAAAUGUUCAUUUGCAAAUUUGUAUAUUUGGCUUCAUGAUGCCUGAGAAAGUGGUGCUGCAAUUUUUAGCUGUGAAGGCUAAAUUUUUGAUGGGUUUGGAAGAUGCUGUUUUAUUGGUUUUGCUAGAGGAAGUGAUGGUGCUGUCUAUACACAUGUGUGCCUGUGUGAAUGUAUGAGUCUACUUUUGUUGUUGGGAAAAAAUGGACCUGUUUGAAAAAUAAAUUUAUGAGAAAGCUGUGUAUGCAAGGACGAGUUUAAAAUGCUUAAGGGGAUUCCCGUUGCUGUGCUGUUGCUUACGCGCAAGUCCGCACGGCAAGCUGUAGCCUGGUUGGCACGCCGCUGCUUAGCACUAGGUGGGGCACGCCGCUGCGUAGUACUGUCCUUCUUUCACUGCACAAGUUUUGUCUCCUGUCUCGACAUGACCUGCAUGGUCUCACACACUCUUCUUUCCCCAAGAUUGAUGCAUUGAAGAGGUUGGGAAGGGAAGAAUCGCCGGAACUGUUGGGGGGACAAACAGAAUUUUCCAAAGUUACAAUUGCUGAGGAAGAACUUGCUUUGCAGGCUGCAUACAGGGAUACAACAGGGCUCAAACAAAACAAGUUAGUUGGAGGUGGAUACCUAUCGAAGAAUCCGACGAAAAGCCAACAGCUUCAAGAAAAACUGGAACGACAAGCAUGCGAGGUUGAUAGAUUAAAAGAACAGCUUGCAAAGCAAGCUGCUGAUAGGGAAGCAGCGAAGGAAGAACUAAAAAAAUCCCUUAGAGAAGAACUGAUGAAAGAGUUUCAUGAUAUGUUCAAAAAAGACAGUAUUGUCAUUUCUUCGGAAGUUAAUCAACUUUGAAUAAUUUCUCAUCCUUCAUCUCAUUUGAACAGAAGAUAAUUUGUGCAAGGCGUGCUAUUUUUGUUAUGUUCAUAAGAAAAAACUAAUUGGGAGAUUAGGAUAGUGAGCAUGUACAAUUUGUUCGUUCUGAUUAUAUGACUUCUGCUCACUUACCUGUCCUUUUACAAACAUGCAUGUAGACUCCCUACAACCAAAAAUGAAACAGAAUGUGCACCUACGGCCAAUGAGGUAUACAUGAUGCCACAACAGUUGCAGCUAGGGCCACUGAGGAUGUGAAUAAUGAAACAGCACCGCAGCGCCACACAGAAGAAACAUUGGGACAGGUAAUGAAGUUGAACAAUGUUUGCAAUCAUCUUGGAGUUAAUCAUUUAAAUAUAGCUAACAUCGUUCCAACUACUUUAGAAUGCCAUAUCAGCCAAGAAGCAGUAAUACCUGCCCCCCUUUUUUUUAAUGCAUAGACUGCCACGGCAACCAACAUUGCAGCAGCUGCAGCCCAACCUGCAGCAGAACUUCUAGUAGAUCCUGCAGCAAAACUUUCAAAAGAACCAGUAGCAAAACUUUCAGAAGAACCUCUAGCAAAACCUGCAGCAGAACCCGAAGCCCAACCAGCAGCAAAACCUGCAGCCAAUGUUGCACCAACAGCGCAGAUUAAAGAUACAUUGUCACAGGUACUGAAAUUGACGAAUGCUUUAUGCAUUUCAGUAUAGCUAACACUGCUCCAAAAACUUUAUAAUGCCAGGUGCAGAAAACAAGUACUCCCAAGCUACAAAAAUAAAAUAGGCCACCAUUGUGCAAUGGUAAAUUUCCCAAAGGUAAAAAACCUCAGCAGCCCAAUAAUGAUGGUGGUAAUGUGCCACUGUCAUACAUUACUUUCCAUGAGCUAGUAAAUGGUGCUAAAACACGAGCAGCAAGCAAGUUGAAAGAUCAGGUAAGAAGUGGAACAGUGCUUUCAUAAUGCCAAUCGAACUUUGCAUUGCCAUUCUAAUUUUAUUUGUAGUUGAUUAAUGGCAAGACAAAUUAUAUCUCGAAAAUUUCUCUCUUCGGCAGGACAACCAAGCUGGACUGGGGCUAUAAGACUGAAGAUUGCUCAAGCCCCUGAAGGAUGCCAUGUUUUUUUUUCUUGAGGAUCUGCCACAUAAUUUUUAGUUUCAUAGUUUCUGUUAUAGAUUAUCUGAAGUAGAAUCGAGGAUAUAUACAAUGUUUUUUAGUAUAUGACCGUGAUCGUUAUUUGAAUGGGAAUGUGUAAUAGUGAAUGAAUGAUUUAUUUGAUUCAUAAUAUAUAUGUUUUUGCAUG